rnacentral:rRNA from 1 species
AACUUUCAGCAACGGAUCUCUUGGCUCUCGCAUCGAUGAAGAACGCAGCGAAAUGCGAUAAGUAAUGUGAAUUGCAGAAUUUAGUGAAUCAUCGAAUCUUUGAACGCACCUUGCGCUCCUUGGUAUUCCGAGGAGCAUGCCUGUUUGAGUGUCAU